GAUCCUGGCUCAGGAUAAACGCUGGCGGCGCACAUAAGACAUGCAAGUCGAACGAACUUAACCAUUAGUUUACUAUUGGAGCGGUUAGUGGCGGACUGGUGAGUAACACGUAAGCAACCUGCCUAUCAGAGGGGAACAACAGUUAGAAAUGACUGCUAAUACCGCAUAUGCCUAAGUACCACAUGGUACAAUAGGGAAAGGAGCAAUCCGCUGAUAGAUGGGCUUGCGUCUGAUUAG
rnacentral:rRNA from 1 species